UAAGAAAUUACCUGGCAACAAACUGACAGUUAAUGAAUCUAAGUGAGACUGAACUUGAUUGGGUCGUACGACACUUGGGCCACACGAAACUGACCCAGAUGAACAACUAUAGGUUGUCGUCUUCGACAGUUGAAAGAACCAAAAUAGCCAAGCUGCUUGUCUUACUGGAGAAGGGCAUGCUGGGUAAAGCCCAGGGCAGUACACUGAGUGACCACAGUCUUGAUGAAAUUCCCACAACACAAAGUAACUCAGAAUCCAUGAAGAUGAGCCUUUAGAGGUGGAGAAG